UAGGGAAUCUUCCGCAAUGGGCGAAAGCCUGACGGAGCAACGCCGCGUGAGUGAUGAAGGUCUUCGGAUCGUAAAACUCUGUUAUUAGGGAAGAACAAAUGUGUAAGUAACUAUGCACGUCUUGACGGUACCUAAUCAGAAAGCCACGGCUAACUACGUGCCAGCAGCCGCGGUAAUACGUAGGUGGCAAGCGUUAUCCGGAAUUAUCGGGCGUAAAGCGCGCGUAGGCGGUUUUUUAAGUCUGAUGUGAAAGCCCACGGCUCAACCGUGGAGGGUCAUUGGAAACUGGAAAACUUGAGUGCAGAAGAGGAAAGUGAAAUUCCAUGUGUGGCGGUGAAAUGCGCAGAGAUAUGGAGGAACACCAGUGGCGAAGGCGACUUUCUGGUCUGUAACUGACGCUGAUGUGCGAAAGCGUGGGGAUCAAACAGG
rnacentral:rRNA from 1 species